rnacentral:rRNA from 1 species
CGCACUAGUCACUUUGCCUUUAUGGCAAAUGUGAGAUGCAGUGUAUGGAAUGUCAAAUUUCUAGUAUGAGAAAUUAACGAUUUAAGUCCUUCUUAAAUGAGGCCAUUUACCCAUAGAGGGUGCCAGGCCCGUAUAACGUUAAUGAUUAUUAGAUGACAUUUCCAAAGAGUCGUGUUGCUUGAUAGUGCAGCACUAAGUGGGUGGUAAACUCCAUCUAAAACUAAAUAUAACCAUGAGACCGAUAGUAAACAAGUACCGUGAGGGAAAGUUGAAAAGAACUCUGAAUAGAGAGUUAAAUAGUACGUGAAACUGCUUAGAGGUUAAGCCCGAUGAACCUGAAUAUCCGUUAUAGAAAAUUCAUCAUUACGAUUGUAAUAAUUUUAUAAUUAUUAUAAUAAUGGUGUGCAUUUUUUCUAUAAAAGGACAUUGUAAUCUAUUAACAUAAAAAUAUUUAUCAUAAGAUCAUUAGCAGAAGUUUACUCAAAUUAUUUUGCUUGCAAUUUAACAUAGAAUAAAUGCUUUUGAUUUGAUAAAGUGUUGAUAGAUUUAUUAUAUAUAGUGCUUAAAUAUAUUAUAUUGUAUAAUAUCAUAUUAAUUAUUAAUUUUUAUGUUUAUUAUAUGCACUUAUAUGAUUAACAAUGCGAAAGAUUCAGGAUACCUUCGGGACCCGUCUUGAAACACGGACCAAGGAGUCUAACAUAUUUGCAAGUUAUUGGGAAUAAAAACCUAAUAGCGAAAUUAACAUAACUUAAAAAUAAUAAUGGGAUUAGUUUUUAACCUAUUUUAUAGGUUAUUAAUACAAUCCCGGGGCGUUCUAUAUAGUUAUGUAUAAUAAUAUUUAUAUUAUUUAUACCUCUAACUAGAGCGUACCUUGAGCAUAUAUGCUGUGACCCGAAAGAUGGUGAACUAUACUUGAUCAGGUUGAAGUCAGGGGAAACCCUGAUGGAAGACCGAAACAGUUCUGACGUGCAAAUCGAUUGUCAGAAUUGAGUAUAGGGGCGAAAGACCAAUCGAACCAUCUAGUAGCUGGUUCCCUCCGAAGUUUCCCUCAGGAUAGCUGGUGCAUUUAAAAAUUAUGAAAAAUAAUCUUAUCUGGUAAAGCGAAUGAUUAGAGGCCUUAGGGUCGAAACGAUCUUAACCUAUUCUCAAACUUUAAAUGGGUAAGAACCUCACCUUUCUUGGUAUGAAGGUCGUGGUUGUGAUAUAAUGUGCCCAGUGGGCCACUUUUGGUAAGCAGAACUGGCGCUGUGGGAUGAACCAAACGUAAUGUUACGGUGCCCAAAUUAACAACUCAUACAGAUACCAUGAAAGGCGUUGGUUGCUUAAAA